UGCAGAUGAUGUCUCUUUCUCUGGAUGGUCUGCGGAUGCCACUGUGGGCGGGGCCGAUGAGGCCAGUGUCUCAGCUGAUGCCAGGAG